GAUGAAGAACGCAGUGAAAUGCGAUAAGUAAUGUGAAUUGCAGAAUUCCGUGAAUCAUCGAAUCUUUGAACGCACAUUGCGCCCUCUGGUAUUCCGGGGGGCAUGCCUGUCCGAGCGUCAUUUGCAACCCUCAAGCCCGGCUUGUGUGAUGGGUGCCGUCCCCUACGGGACGCGCCCCGAAGGCAAUGGCGGCGUCGCGGUUAUCCGAUCAGCCAAAGUGUAUGGGGCUUUGUCACUCACUUUACGGCCCGGACCGGCGCCAGUCCGAAUCAAUCUUUUUUCUAAAGUUGACCUCGGAUCAGGUAGGGAUACCCGCUGAACUUAAGCAUAUCAAUAAGCGGAGGA
rnacentral:misc_RNA from 1 species